AUUGGCUCUACUGCUUUUGCGUACUUUGAUGAUUGAAGUCUGGAGGAGCACAGGAGGGAGACGAAAGAAGCAACGGUUGUGAGAUAAUAUAUUCAAUUGGCUGCUGUUGGAUGGGAUUUAGAUUGUGAAGAGAACUACAGGUACGUGUUUAUGACACGAGUUCUCCACAAGUGGCUUAUCCUCAUUUGGAUCGUUUCCUCUUUACAUUGCCCUUCAUUUGUUUAUUGAUGGGGAGGAAAAAUAGAGACAGGCGAGAGCUCAUCUUCUGCAGCUAUGGCUAAAGAUUUGACACGUCGCAACCCAAUAUGAUGUGGUUGCCGCAUGUUGCUCGAGCACAAGUAAUUCGACUUUGGAUGCCAUGAAUGAACUGA
rnacentral:lncRNA from 1 species